rnacentral:rRNA from 1 species
UACCAGCACCCCGAGUGGUCGGGACGAUUAUUGGGCCUAAAGCAUCCGUAGCCGGUUUUACAAGUCCUCCGUUAAAUCCAGCUGCUUAACAGAUGGGCUGCGGAGGAUACUAUAAGACUAGGAGGCAGGAGAGGCAAGCGGUACUCAGUGGGUAGGGGUAAAAUCCGUUGAUCCAUUGAAGACCACCAGUGGCGAAGGCGGCCUACUGGGCUGCACCUGACGCUGAGCCGCGAAAGCCAGGGGAGCGAACGGG